rnacentral:rRNA from 1 species
GACGAACGCUGGCGGCGUGCUUAACACAUGCAAGUCGAACGGAAAGGCCCUGCUUGCAGGGUACUCGAGUGGCGAACGGGUGAGUAACACGUGGGUGAUCUGCCCUGCACUUCGGGAUAAGCCUGGGAAACUGGGUCUAAUACCGGAUAGGAGCCAUUUUUAGUGUGAUGGUUGGAAAGUUUUUUUCGGUGUAGGAUGAGCUCGCGGCCUAUCAGCUUGUUGUUGGGGUAAUGGCCUACCAAGGCGGCGACGGGUAGCCGGCCUGAGAGGGUGGACGGCCACAUUGGGACUGAGAUACGGCCCAGACUCCUACGGGAGGCAGCAGUGGGGAAUAUUGCACAAUGGGCGCAAGCCUGAUGCAGCGACGCCGCGUGGGGGAUGACGGCCUUCGGGUUGUAAACUCCUUUCGCUAGGGACGAAGCUUUUUGUGACGGUACCUAGAUAAGAAGCACCGGCUAACUACGUG